ACGGUACCUGCAGAAUAAGCACCGGCUAACUCUGUGCCAGCAGCCGCGGUAAUACAGAGGGUGCAAGCGUUAUUCGGAAUUACUGGGCGUAAAGAGCGCGUAGGCUGUUUGAUAAGUUUGAUGUGAAAGCCCUGGACUCAAUUCAGGAAGUGCAUCGAAUACUGUCAGACUAGAGUAUAGGAGGGGAGAACGGAAUUCCUGGUGUAGAGGUGAAAUUCGUAGAUAUCAGGAGGAACAACAGUGGCGAAGGCGGUUCUCUGGACUAUAACUGACGCUGAGGCGCGAAAGUGUGGGGAGCAAACAGGAUUAGAUACCCUGGUAGUCCACACCGUAAACGAUGGGUACUAGAUGUCGGAGGUUCUUGUCCCUUCGGUAUCGUAGCUAACGUGUUAAGUAUCCCGCCUGGGAAGUACGGCCGCAAGGUUAAAACUCAAAGAAAUUGACGGGGGCCCGCACAAGCGGUGGAGUAUGUGGUUUAAUUCGAAGCAACGCGCAAAACCUUACCUAGGCUUGACAUCCCACGCUACCCUAUGAAAGUAGGGGUUCCCUUCGG
rnacentral:rRNA from 1 species